CCGAGCUAGGGUCUCACCGGCCCGACCUCCCAACCCUUUGUCUACUUGACCAUCGUUGCUUCGGCGAGCCCGUCCUCACGGACCGCCGGAGGGCCUUGACCGGUCCUCUGGCCCGCGCUCGUCGACAGCCCCCACCAUUAAAACCUUAACUAAACGUGUCUUGAAUCUAAGUAUUAUUGUUAAAUAAAAACA
rnacentral:misc_RNA from 1 species